AAUAGCAUACUCAUUUGACGUUAGCUGCAGAAGAAGCACCGGCUAACUCCGUGCCAGCAGCCGCGGUAAUACGGAGGGUGCGAGCGUUAAUCGGAAUUACUGGGACGUAAAGCGCAUGCAGGUGGUUGUUAAGUCAGAUGUGAAAGCCCGGGGCUCAACCUCGGAAUUGCAUUUGAAACUGGCAAACUAGAGUACUGUAGAGGGGGUAGAAUUUCAGGUGUAGCGGUGAAAAUGCGUAGAGAUCUGAAGGAAUACCGGUGGCGAAGGCGGCCCCCUCGGACAGAUACUGACACUCAGAUGCGAAAGCGUGGGGAGCAAACAGGAUUAGAUACCCUGGUAG
rnacentral:rRNA from 1 species